rnacentral:lncRNA from 1 species
GUGUCUUUGAACAUACUCCGGCGGUCGUGUUAUCGUAAUUGGGUUUCUCGGCCGACAGUCCAACGAAAAGCAUCACCAUCAUCAUCUGCUGUUGAUCCAUGGGUGAUGAUGAAAGAGCGCAGCUUCAUAGAAGGCACCGUUGAAGAGGGCGGCGGCUCUGAAGUGGGGUUGUACAAGUUUUACAGCAUUGCCCAUGAGCAAGAAACACGUGUCACGAUGAGUGAUGGGAUAGUGGUGGGUUCUUCCCAUGGGUGGCUAGCCUUUUACAGAAGUCAUUGGCCGCGUCCGUUAGAUUCCCCCCUUCGCCGUCUCGAUAUGUUUCUCGAGAAUCCCCUGCAUAAUACUAGCAUUAACCUUCCAGCCGUUGAAACCUUGCCAUUUCCAAGCAAUUCCUAUUAUUCCUCCUCGACACUUAUUUCCUCGCUCAAAUUUUUCAAACCGAGAAAGGUGAUCACCUCGUGCUCUCCCAAGGAUUUUGAAUGUCGGGCUAUUAUGUCUUUCGGUCCACAAGACUGGCUGGCAUACUGCUGCCCCAAACUUUGUAAGUACAAGUGGACUCCCAUUGUUGCCCGCGGCCACAAACCAAUGUCCUCUUACGACGACUUUGUGUAUUCCAGAAGACGAAAACAAUUGUUUUGCUUGACCAAGUUUGGCCGCAACUUUGAGAGCUGGAAUCUUGAUGACCCUCUUUAUCCUAGGUUGAUGAUCAAUCGGAACAUAAUGACUAUGGAUGAUGAUUAUGCUAUGAUUAAAGAAAGCCUAGAAGUUGGGAAAUACCUAGUGUUUGCGGAGCGGUCCAAUCGACUUUUUCUUGUGCGCCGCAAUGUUGUAAUGGAAAAAAUUGCCAAUGAUGAUGAUAAUAUUUCGUACAAGACUGUUGGUUUUGAUGUAUAUGAAUUAUUUAUUGAUGAUGAUGAUCCAACUGAGAAAGGAGAAGUGAAAAGUUACAUGAAUGGUAACUUGGGUGGUAUGGCAUUCUUCAUUGGUUGUUCAGGCCAUGGAUUUGUUAUUGAAAAGGACGAAAUGGUGAGGAAUGUGGAGCCAGAUUCCAUCUAUUACACCAACCCAAACGAAGACAUAUCCAUCUUUAAUUACAAGAAGAAGGAAUUCUCAACGUGCGAUGUUGUUAUCCAAAGGGUUGAGUCCGCGGAGCCGCCACUAUGGUUCACUCCAUCUUUAGUUGGUUGAUUACUCGAACUUGUGAAUCUCAUUCAUUUUCAUGCUAUUUUUGGUUACUUAUAGGUGCUGGUUUUUACUGUUGAUCUACACACGCUAGUGUGUGUGUGUG